GCCCUCUCAGGGCCGUACCUGGAGAGUUUCCAGUCCUCUACCAGUCUCGAUUACGGGAGGAUGAGUCAAGCAGAGGCCCGUCUAUUCCAUUCCUAGCUUGGCCAGUGGCUAGCGAGUGGAAGGCAAUCUGCUACGAGU